rnacentral:rRNA from 1 species
AGUGAACGCUGGCGGUAGGCCUAACACAUGCCAGUCGAACGGCAGCACAGUAAGAGCUUGCUCUUACGGGUGGCGAGUGGCGGACGGGUGAGGAAUACAUCGGAAUCUACUUUUUCGUGGGGGAUAACGUAGGGAAACUUACGCUAAUACCGCAUACGACCUACGGGUGAAAGCAGGGGAUCUUCGGACCUUGCGCGAUUGAAUGAGCCGCUGUCGGGUUAGCUAGUUGGCGGGGUAAAGGCCCACCAAGGCGACGAUCCGUAGCUGGUCUGAGAGGAUGAUCAGCCACACUGGAACGGAGACACGGUCCAGACGCCUACGGGAGGCAGCAGUGGGGAAUAUUGGACAAUGGGCGCAAGCCUGAUCCAGCCAUACCGCGUGGGUGAAGAAGGCCUUCGGGUUGUAAAGACCUUUUGUGGGGAAAGAAAAGCAGCAGGUUAAGACCCCGCUGUUCUGACGGUACCCAAAGAAUAAGCACCGGCUAACUUCGUG